CUUGAAAUAACAAAAUGGAGUCUGAUCUGUUCAGAGUGACUCAGAAUAUACACUUUUAGUUUCUAUCAUAGCACAAAAUGUCUGCCGAUAUAAAUACUCUGACACCACUCAGACAGCUGUUACAUUGUUAGUGCAACUCAUCAGCAUGAGGUUGGUUACUGGCUUGCUAAGUGAGGCUUGGCAUUACUUGCAGAGUACAAACCAAGAAAGUUAUGGUCUGGGGAACAAAAUAAUUGUCUGUUUUGCUUUACAUCUAUUUGCGACUCCACUGUUUGUUAAUCUGACCUGUUAUCUUCUCCUACUUGGCAAAUAUCACGCUCUAUGAAUUGUAUGCUAACGUUCAACUUCCAUCCAUUAAAAGAUCCUAAGGACUGCAAUCUUGCUAGAGUGUGUGUGUGUGUGUGUGUGUGUGUGUGUGUGUGUGUGUGUGUGUGUAGGUAGUAGGAUCAGGGAGCAGCGUCUGUGAAGGAAUUCCCAAGCUCAGAGCGAUAUGGAGG
rnacentral:lncRNA from 1 species